AACGAACGCUGGCGGCGUGUCUUAAGCAUGCAAGUCGUGCGGCAAGGCGGGGCAACCUGCCCUAGAGCGGCGGACUGGUGAGUAACGCGUGGGUGAUCUGCCCUUGGGAUGGGGAUAGACUCUAGAAAUAGAGGGUAAUACCGAAUACGUUCGGCGGGGUAAGCCCGUCGAGGAAAAGCGCUUCGGCGCUGCCCGAGGAUGAGCCCGGGUCCCAUUAGCUAGUUGGUGAGGUAACGGCCCACCAAGGCUAGGUUGGGUAGCCGGCCAGAGAGGGUGUACGGCCACACUGGGACUGAGAUACGGCCCAGACUCCUACGGGAGGCAGCAGCUAAGAAUAUUCCGCAAUGGACGAAAGUCUGACGGAGCGACGCCGCGUGGAUGACGAAGGCCGAAAGGUUGUAAAGUCCUUUUGUUGGGGAGGAAUAACCAUGGGAGGGAAUGCCCGUGGGAUGACAUGAACCGACGAAUAAGCCCCGGCUAACUACGUGCCAGCAGCCGCGGUAA
rnacentral:rRNA from 1 species